AUUGAACGCUGGCGGCAUGCCUUACACAUGCAAGUCGAACGGUAACGGGCCUUCGGGUGCCGACGAGUGGCGAACGGGUGAGUAAUACAUCGGAACGUGCCCGAUCGUGGGGGAUAACGAGGCGAAAGCUUUGCUAAUACCGCAUACGAUCUACGGAUGAAAGCAGGGGACUGCAAGGCCUUGCGCGGACGGAGCGGCCGAUGGCAGAUUAGGUAGUUGGUGGGAUAAAAGCUUACCAAGCCGACGAUCUGUAGCUGGUCUGAGAGGAUGAUCGGCCACACUGGGACUGAGACACGGCCCAGACUCCUACGGGAGGCAGCAGUGGGGAAUUUUGGACAAUGGGCGCAAGCCUGAUCCAGCCAUGCCGCGUGCAGGAUGAAGGCCUUCGGGUUGUAAACUGCUUUUGUACGGAACGAAAAGCCUUCUUUUAAUACAGGAGGGUCAUGACGGUACCGUAAGAAUAAGCACCGGCUAACUACGUG
rnacentral:rRNA from 1 species